AACGUAGGACGUAAGCGUUAUCUGGAGUUACUGGGCGUAAAGCGCGGGCAGGCGGUCGGUCAAGUCUGAUGUGAAAUCUCUCCGCUCAACGGGGAGCAGCCAUUGGAAACUGGUCGACUGGAGUCUGGCAGAGGUAGGCGGAAUUCCGGGUGGAGUGGUGAAAUGCGUAGAGAUCCGGAGGAACACCAGAGGCGAAGGCGGCCUACUGGGCCAGUACUGACGCUGAGCCGCGAAAGCCAGGGGAGCGAACGGG
rnacentral:rRNA from 1 species